AUUGAACGCUGGCGGCAUGCCUUACACAUGCAAGUCGAACGGCAGCACGGGUGCUUGCACCUGGUGGCGAGUGGCGAACGGGUGAGUAAUACAUCGGAACAUGUCCUGUAGUGGGGGAUAGCCCGGCGAAAGCCGGAUUAAUACCGCAUACGAUCCACGGAUGAAAGCGGGGGACCUUCGGGCCUCGCGCUAUAGGGUUGGCCGAUGGCUGAUUAGCUAGUUGGUGGGGUAAAGGCCUACCAAGGCGACGAUCAGUAGCUGGUCUGAGAGGACGACCAGCCACACUGGGACUGAGACACGGCCCAGACUCCUACGGGAGGCAGCAGUGGGGAAUUUUGGACAAUGGGCGAAAGCCUGAUCCAGCAAUGCCGGGUGUGUGAAGAAGGCCUUCGGGUGGUAAAGCACUUUUGUCCGGAAAGAAAUCCUUGACUCUAAUACAGUCGGGGGAUGACGGUACCGGAAGAAUAAGCACCGGCUAACUACGU
rnacentral:rRNA from 1 species